CUCUCUGGGGAGCAUAUGCAUCAUAAGGCAAUCUUUUUAAAAAAAAAAAAAAAAAGAUGUUAUGGAGAACCAGCUCUGUGGUGGGAAUGCUUUGGAUUCACAGCCUGGAAUUCUCAGGUCUUGCUGUGGGAUUAAGACCAGACAAGGAGUGGAAUUGAUGGCUCAUAGAUCAUUCUAAGCUUCUUCAAGGCCAGCAGGAAGACUCAGAGAGCCAGUUCUGGAGUCUAAGAAAUCCAAGAUUGAGUGGCCACUUCUGUUCAGGGCCUCAUGCUGUGACAACCCAUGGUGGAGAACUGCAGGGGGAACCCAGCACUGUGAAAAGGACAAAAGGCGCUGAGGAUUUCCGAUGGCAGGGCCCAGCAGCUAGCAACCUGCAGAUCUGUGGAUGCUCAUGUAGUUACGCCUGAAGUUCUGGCACCGACUUGUUUUUCCUGCUUCCAGGCCUGGAGCUACUGCACUCCCAACACAGCUACUCUCCUAGGUUCUGGGAAACCUUUAUCCAAAGGCAUACUGUACAUCGGCACCUACCCUUCCUCCACAAAGCAUGAAGCAGUGAAAAGGUCGAAGCUUUAGCGCAGACGUCACAAUCCCUCUUUUCUCUUCUUCACUACAAGGACAGUGCAAGAAAUGAAAAUUGGAUGAUAAUUUAAACUUUUCAUUCAUCUCCUUCAUCUUGUGUUGUUCGACCAGAAUAUCUGAGUCAACUGAUUUGAGGGGAAAGAUCUCACGUGGGAGGCUGAAAAAGAACCUUCACUAAUGUCUCAGCACUGGAAGUUGAUUUUUGCAGUAGUUGAGAGUGAGUGGGUGUACAAAGAAAUUCAAGACUGAAGGCUUGAUAGGAGACUCACUUGGAAGAUUGAACUAAGGACACCAAGACUUCCAGUUACCAG